rnacentral:rRNA from 1 species
GACAGAGGGUGCAAGCGUUGUUCGGAAUUACUGGGCGUAAAGCGUGUGUAGGCGGCUUUGCAAGUCGGAUGUGAAAGCCCCGGGCUCAACCCGGGAAGUGCACUCGAUACUGCAGAGCUUGAGUGUCGGAGAGGUUGGUGGAAUUCUCGGUGUAGAGGUGAAAUUCGUAGAUAUCGAGAGGAACACCGGUGGCGAAGGCGGCCUUCUGGACAGUGACUGACGCUGAGACGCGAAAGCGUGGGGAGCAAACAGG